GACGAACGCUGGCGGCGUGCUUAACACAUGCAAGUCGAACGGAAAGGCCCUGCUUUUGUGGGGUGCUCGAGUGGCGAACGGGUGAGUAACACGUGAGUAACCUGCCCUUGACUUUGGGAUAACUUCAGGAAACUGGGGCUAAUACCGGAUAGGAGCUCCUGCUGCAUGGUGGGGGUUGGAAAGUUUCGGCGGUUGGGGAUGGACUCGCGGCUUAUCAGCUUGUUGGUGGGGUAGUGGCUUACCAAGGCUUUGACGGGUAGCCGGCCUGAGAGGGUGACCGGCCACAUUGGGACUGAGAUACGGCCCAGACUCCUACGGGAGGCAGCGGUGGGGAAUAUUGCACAAUGGGCGGAAGCCUGAUGCAGCAACGCCGCGUGCGGGAGGACGGCCUUCGGGUUGUAAACCGCUUUCGCCUGUGACGAAGCGUGAGUGACGGGAAUGGGGAAAGAAGCACCGGCUAACUACGU
rnacentral:rRNA from 1 species